GACGAACGCUGGCGGCGUGCUUAACACACGCAAGUCGAACGGAAAGGCCCUGCUUUUGUGGGGUGCUCGAGUGGCGAACGGGUGAGUAACACGUGAGUAACCUGCCCUUGACUUUGGGAUAACUUCAGGAAACUGGGGCUAAUACCGGAUAGGAGCUCCUGCUGCAUGGUGGGGGUUGGAAAGUUUCGGCGGUUGGGGAUGGACUCGCGGCUUAUCAGCUUGUUGGUGGGGUAGUGGCUUACCAAGGCUUUGACGGGUAGCCGGCCUGAGAGGGUGACCGGCCACAUUGGGACUGAGAUACGGCCCAGACUCCUACGGGAGGCAGCAGUGGGGAAUAUUGCACAAUGGGCGGAAGCCUGAUGCAGCAACGCCGCGUGCGGGAUGACGGCCUUCGGGUUGUAACCCGCUUUCGCCUGUGACGAAGCGUGAGUGACGGUAAUGGGUAAAGAAGCACCGGCUAACUACGUG
rnacentral:rRNA from 1 species